GACGGAGGAUGCAAGUGUUAUCCGGAAUCACUGGGCGUAAAGCGUCUGUAGGUUGUUUAAAAAGUCUACUGUUAAAGCUUGAAGCUUAACUUCAAAAAUGCCGUAGAAACUUUUAAACUUGAGUAUGGUAAGGGUAGAGGGAAUUUCCAGUGGAGCGGUGAAAUGCGUAGAUCUUGGAAAGACCACCAAUGGCGAAGGCACUCUACUGGGCCAUAACUGACACUAAGAGACGAAAGCUAGGGGAGCAAAUGGG
rnacentral:rRNA from 1 species